GAAAUUCCUGUACCACCGUAAUCCGUGAUGAGCGAUGGGGUGACGCAGUAGGGUAGUGACGCGGACUGAUGGAUGUCCGUCUAAGCAGUGAGGCUGAUGUGUAGGCAAAUCCGCACAUCGUUAAGGCUGGGCUGUGAUGGGGAGCGAAAAUUAUAGUAGCGAAGGUCAUGAUCUCAGACUGCCAAGAAAAGCCUCUAGCCAGGAGAAGGUGCCCGUACCGCAAACCGACACAGGUAGGCGAGAAGAGAAUUCUAAGGCGCGCGGAAGAACUCUCGUUAAGGAACUCGGCAAAAUGACCCCGUAACUUCGGGAGAAGGGGUGCCUCGGUAGGGUGAAUAGCCCGAGGGGGCCGCAGUGAAAAGGCCCAAGCGACUGUUUAGCAAAAACACAGGUCUGUGCGAAGCCGCAAGGCGAAGUAUACGGGCUGACGCCUGCCCGGUGCUGGAAGGUUAAGGGGAGUGGUAAGC
rnacentral:rRNA from 1 species